rnacentral:rRNA from 1 species
CAGCAGUGGGGAAUAUUGCACAAUGGGCGCAAGCCUGAUGCAGCCAUGCCGCGUGUGUGAAGAAGGCCUUCGGGUUGUAAAGCACUUUCAGCGGGGAGGAAGGCAAUGCGGUUAAUAACCGUGUUGAUUGACGUUACCCGCAGAAGAAGCACCGGCUAACUCCGUGCCAGCAGCCGCGGUAAUACGGAGGGUGCAAGCGUUAAUCGGAAUUACUGGGCGUAAAGCGCACGCAGGCGGUCUGUCAAGUCGGAUGUGAAAUCCCCGGGCUCAACCUGGGAACUGCAUUCGAAACUGGCAGGCUUGAGUCUUGUAGAGGGGGGUAGAAUUCCAGGUGUAGCGGUGAAAUGCGUAGAGAUCUGGAGGAAUACCGGUGGCGAAGGCGGCCCCCUGGACAAAGACUGACGCUCAGGUGCGAAAGCGUGGGGAGCAAACAGGAUUAGA